AGCGCCCAACGCGCAGCACUGUGCGCUGGCCGGUGAUCGUGCUCUUACACAACCGGGCUGGAGACGCCUCUCCAGACCACGGAUCUGCAGGUGGGUCUUUGAAUGGCAAACGGCGCCCAGCUCACUGGCAGGUGGUGGAGGACACCAGAUUUCAACAGCUGAGGCAUCACGUCACCUCUGAGCACUGCCGUUUCCAGACUACUGCAUUGAAAUUGCCUAGAAAUUGCUUUUUGAAGGCAGAAACCCUAUGAAAAGUGAGGAAGAGCCCGAUCCCUGGCUCAACAGCUCAGAGGAUCAUCCUUGCACCUUGCUUGGCUUCCUCCUGCCCUGGCAGGGCCCAGCAGCGUAGCAGCCAGGAGCGGCGGUGAUGGCACCAGGAGCGGCGCUGAUGGCACCAGGAGCGGCAGCAAUGGCACCAGGAGCGGCGGUGAUGGCACCAGGAGUGGCAGCAAUGGCACCAGGAGCGGCGGUGAUGGCACCAGGAGUGGCAGCAAUGGCACCAGGAGCGGCGGUGAUGGCGGCGGUGGCACCGGCUGUGGCGCGGGCAGAACACAGACUUGGAAAAGAUCCUGGGUUUUUUACAAAACCACAGUCUGGGGAGGAGGGAAGUGAACCAGGAGCUGAUGCAGCCACCUCGGGGGCCGCAGGACACGGCACAAAGCCCAGCUCAGCAGCAGGCCUGGCCCAAAGGGAGGCAGAGCUCAGCUCUGUGACCUGGAGCGGUUUUGAACUGAAGGAGACCAAACCUUCACAGCAGAACUAUUCUUCAAAGCCCUUUCUAAGCUCGAACUAAGAGAGAGUUGCCUUUCAUAACUAGAAGAAGAAAUGAACUCCAUUCAAAGAGCAGCAAUUUUUGGGUACUUGGAUGAUGUCGAAGCACUUGGCUGAAGCACAGAUUGCAAUAAAAUCAGCCGCAAAAAUAUUUAAGGAGCUUCCUCUAAAUUUGCAGCCUCACAGUUAGAGCAAUCUGGUUCUGGAGCAGCCUCUGGGGAGGGGAACGGGGAGACCCGGCAGCUUUGGGGUGCGAUCGGUCUGGAAGGGGCUGAGCUCCCCAUGGAGCUCCCCCAGCCUCGGCUCCUCUUCCCAGGUGGUGCGAACCCUCAUCGUGCCUUUUGUUUCUGUUUAAAUGAGGGAUAAAGGGCGUGCGGAGCCGUCCCCAAAGUGCUGAGCACCGGCCGGGCAGGGCUGGGAUGUGACCGUGAACUACAGCCGGCCAGACUGGUCUGGUUUUAUGACCCAAGCGGAGACCUGGGGAUUAACCAGCCAGCUCACGGGGGACAAGCCAAGCUGGGUUUUAAGUUCUUUGGUGCCUCUAAUAACUCAGAUGGCAAAGAGUGUCACAAAGGAAAAGGGGAUCCUGGGGACAGGUCAGAAGGACUUUGGCAAGCUGGUGCCCUGUCCAGCACUUGCCUUGUUGCCUUUCACUACAGAAGGAUCCCGAGGCUGCUCCUGACCCGGCCGGAGCCGCUGCCGAGGGCUCCAGGGCAGCUCCACACACCCUCCUGUCCCGCACCUCCCACCCAAAACAAGCUCGGAAGCUUUGGGAUAUCCAGUGUGAAUUCACCAGUGGCAUCGGGGUUAAUGGACAGGUUGCAACUAGAAGCAAGUCACCCGGGACGUGACUGCUGCUGCUUCCCGGGAGCAGCUCAGCCACCGUCACUUAGAGCUUGCAUCGGGAUGAACACAUCGAGAGCUGCUGCAUGUCCCCAGGCUGAAGUCAGUGGAACCUGGGGACAGGAACGCAGACCCAGCACCCAACACGCCUCCU